rnacentral:rRNA from 1 species
GACGAACGCUGGCGGCGUGCUUAACACAUGCAAGUCGAACGGUGAACCAGGGCUUGCCCUGGGAAUCAGUGGCGAACGGGUGAGUAACACGUGGGCAACCUGCCCCUGACUCUGGGAUAACUUCGGGAAACCGAAGCUAAUACCGGAUACGACCUCUCUGGGCAUCCUGAGAGGUGGAAAGUUUUUCGGUCAGGGAUGGGCCCGCGGCCUAUCAGCUUGUUGGUGGGGUAAUGGCCCACCAAGGCGACGACGGGUAGCCGGCCUGAGAGGGCGACCGGCCACACUGGGACUGAGACACGGCCCAGACUCCUACGGGAGGCUG